UACGAAGGGGGCUAGCGUUGUUCGGAAUUACUGGGCGUAAAGGGCGCGCAGGCGGCUCUUCAAGUCAGAUGUGAAAGCCCCGGGCUCAACCUGGGAACUGCAUUUGAGACUGGAGAGCUCGAGUUCGGGAGAGGAGAGCGGAAUUCCCAGUGUAGAGGUGAAAUUCGUAGAUAUUGGGAAGAACGCCGGUGGCGAAAGCGGCGCACUGGACCACAACUGACGCUGAGGCGCGAAAGCUAGGGGAGCAAACAGG
rnacentral:rRNA from 1 species